rnacentral:rRNA from 1 species
AUUGAACGCUGGCGGCAUGCUUUACACAUGCAAGUCGAACGGUAACAGGCCGCAAGGUGCUGACGAGUGGCGAACGGGUGAGUAAUGCAUCGGAACGUGCCCAGUCGUGGGGGAUAACUACUCGAAAGAGUAGCUAAUACCGCAUACGAUCUAUGGAUGAAAGCGGGGGACCGUAAGGCCUCGCGCGAUUGGAGCGGCCGAUGUCAGAUUAGUUAGUUGGUGGGGUAAAGGCUCACCAAGCCAACGAUCUGUAGCUGGUCUGAGAGGACGACCAGCCACACUGGGACUGAGACACGGCCCAGACUCCUACGGGAGGCAGCAGUGGGGAAUUUUGGACAAUGGGCGCAAGCCUGAUCCAGCAAUGCCGCGUGCAGGAAGAAGGCCUUCGGGUUGUAAACUGCUUUUGUACGGAACGAAACGGCUCUGGUUAAUACCCGGGGCUAAUGACGGUACCGUAAGAAUAAGCACCGGCUAACUACGUG